rnacentral:rRNA from 1 species
CCUACGGGAGGCAGCAGUGGGGAAUAUUGCACAAUGGAGGGAACUCUGAUGCAGCGACGCCGCGUGAGUGAAGAAGUCCUUCGUUAUGUAAAGCUCUAUCAGCAGGGAAGAAAGCGAUGGUACCUGUAAACUACUCUCUGGCUAAAUCCGUCCCAGCAGCCGCGGUCAUACGUAGGGAGCAAGCGUUAGCCGGAUGUACUGGGUGUAAAGUGAGAGUAGGUGGCAGGGCAAGUCCGAAGUGAAAACCCAAAGCCCAACUAUGGGAAUGCUUUAGAAACUGCUCCGCUAGAGUGCAGGAGAGGCAAGUAGAAGUCUAGGUGUAGUGGUGAAAUGCGUAGAGAUUAGGAGGAAUACCGGUGGCGAAGGCGGCUUGCUGGACUGUGACUGACGCUGAGGUUCGAAAGCGUGGGGAGCAAACAGGAUUAGAUACCCUGGUAGUC